rnacentral:rRNA from 1 species
CAAGUCAGCGGUAAAAUUGCGGGGCUCAACCCCGUACAGCCGUUGAAACUGCCGGGCUCGAGUGGGCGAGAAGUAUGCGGAAUGCGUGGUGUAGCGGUGAAAUGCAUAGAUAUCACGCAGAACCCCGAUUGCGAAGGCAGCAUACCGGCGCCCUACUGACGCUGAGGCACGAAAGUGCGGGGAUCAAACAGGAUUAGAUACCCUGGUAGUCCGCACAGUAAACGAUGAAUACUAAUUGUUCGGGGAGAAUGAUCCCUGAGUGAUACAGCGAAAGCGUUAAGUAUUCCACCUGGGGAGUACGCCGGCAACGGUGAAACUCAAAGGAAUUGACGGGGGCCCGCACAAGCGGAGGAACAUGUGGUUUAAUUCGAUGAUACGCGAGGAACCUUACCCGGGCUCAAACGACACAGGAAUACUUUUGAAAGGAGGUAGCUCUACGGAGUCUGUGUCGAGGUGCUGCAUGGUUGUCGUCAGCUCGUGCCGUGAGGUGUCGGCUUAAGUGCCAUAACGAGCGCAACCCCCAUCGCCAGUUACCAGCAAGUCAAGUUGGGGACUCUGGCGAGACUGCCGGCGCAAGCUGUGAGGAAGGCGGGGAUGACGUCAAAUCAGCACGGCCCUUACGUCCGGGGCGACACACGUGUUACAAUGGCAGGUACAGAGAGAAGCAAUGCGGCGACGCAAAGCGGAACUUGAAAGCCUGUCUCAGUUCGGAUUGGAGUCUGCAACUCGACUCCAUGAAGCUGGAUUCGCUAGUAAUCGCGCAUCAGCCAUGGCGCGGUGAAUACGUUCCCGGGCCUUGUACACACCGCCCGUCAAGCCAUGGAAGCCGGGAGUGCCUGAAGUGUGCAACCGCAAGGAGCGCCCUAAGGUAAAACUGGUGACUGGGGCUAAGUCGUAACAAGGUAGCCGUAA